rnacentral:rRNA from 1 species
GAUGAACGCUGGCGGCGUGCCUAAUACAUGCAAGUCGAGCGAAUGGAUUAAGAGCUUGCUCUUAUGAAGUUAGCGGCGGACGGGUGAGUAACACGUGGGUAACCUGCCCAUAAGACUGGGAUAACUCCGGGAAACCGGGGCUAAUACCGGAUAACAUUUUGAACCGCAUGGUUCGAAAUUGAAAGGCGGCUUCGGCUGUCACUUAUGGAUGGACCCGCGUCGCAUUAGCUAGUUGGUGAGGUAACGGCUCACCAAGGCAACGAUGCGUAGCCGACCUGAGAGGGUGAUCGGCCACACUGGGACUGAGACACGGCCCAGACUCCUACGGGAGGCAGCAGUAGGGAAUCUUCCGCAAUGGACGAAAGUCUGACGGAGCAACGCCGCGUGAGUGAUGAAGGCUUUCGGGUCGUAAAACUCUGUUGUUAGGGAGAACAAGUGCUAGUUGAAUAAGCUGGCACCUUGACGGUACCUAACCAGAAAGCCACGGCUAACUACAUGCCAGCCGCCGCGGUAA